rnacentral:rRNA from 1 species
AUUGAACGCUGGCGGCAGGCCUAACACAUGCAAGUCGAACGGUAACAGAAAGCAGCUUGCUGCUUUGCUGACGAGUGGCGGACGGGUGAGUAAUGUCUGGGAAACUGCCUGAUGGAGGGGGAUAACUACUGGAAACGGUAGCUAAUACCGCAUAACGUCGCAAGACCAAAGAGGGGGACCUUCGGGCCUCUUGCCAUCGGAUGUGCCCAGAUGGGAUUAGCUAGUAGGUGGGUUAACGGCUCACCUAGGCGACGAUCCCUAGCUGGUCUGAGAGGAUGACCAGCCACACUGGAACUGAGACACGGUCCAGACUCCUACGGGAGGCAGCAGUGGGGAAUAUUGCACAAUGGGCGCAAGCCUGAUGCAGCCAUGCCGCGUGUAUGAAGAAGGCCUUCGGGUUGUAAAGUACUUUCAGCGGGGAGGAAGGGAGUAAAGUUAAUACCUUUGCUCAUUGACGUUACCCGCAGAAGAAGCACCGGCUAACUCCGUG